CCUGCCCACGGUUUCCGGUGACGCGAAAGUCCACAUCCUUCACAUUGGAGGCCCUCCAUCAUCAGAUGGAUUCACGACAAACUUUAUCUCGUGGUGAGCAUAUUGGAGAUAGCUUAAACUGGUGAUGAUGAAAUCUACCUUGAAUUGGGUUUCCACAAUAAUCGGCGAUGGGAAGCGAGAUCUGCGUUGGUGUUGUCCAAAUCGAUUGGAGUGGAAAUUGGAGACGGGAAAGAAUUAAAAGGCGAAACGCUGGGAGGAGGAGUGCAGCCCGUGUAAAUAAAGUACGUAAUGUAGGUCAGUAAUGGCGAUAAUAUAAAUUGUCUGGGUCUACCUCUCCCCCUCCACCCUUUGAGGUUCGACAAGUCCUCAUGGUGGAUCGGCCAUGGUAACUAUAUUGGAAAUUUGGUAAAACUUGCAAUUUCGGGUGGUUUCUGUGCAGUUGCCGAGUGUGUUUGUAUGUGUAUGUUGUGGGGGGGCCGAACAGGAGUCGUCCGGUUCAGGAGGAGAGUGUGAGGAGGAGAGCUCUGGCAGUAUCGACCACCAGGCGUGUGACGCAUCCAAGUUCAAUGCCAAGGUUGGGCCUGGCGCACGCGCGCCAUAAUGCGGCCGCCUAACCGGGGCCUCCUGGACAUUGCGUAACACUUCGCCAGUGCCGCCGCCACAUCUGCAAGCCUCCGCACCAGGUCCCAGGACCUUUGAAGAUGUGCACCAAUACCUGCGAGGACCAUCCGGUAGGUUCAACUUUGAGAAGUUCCUCCACUUCCAGGACCUUGGUGGUGAACUGUGCUUCCUCGACGACGAAGACAACUAACCGUCACCCCCAUGGAAGAGGUGUUACCAACUAGGUAACCAGCGACUUGGAGGAUCUACAGUGCAGACACGAGACACAAGAUCUCAACUAUUAAAAAGAAACAAUGGCAUCACCUUGUAAUAGAUGCUUAGUUGAACUACUCCAAGAAACUAUUACAUCUUGCCUACUAGGCUAUUCAAACUGAAACUAGAAUAUGGGCUAGCUAGACUAUCCUGUAACUAGUAUGGAAUAUUUGAAACUUCCGAACUGAAGGAAUUGAGACAAAGCCAGCAUUCAAACCAGAAAAAUGGCCUGGUCCGGGGGUGGAUGAGAGAAAGACAGGUAUUCCGGCGCGCUGUGACUCAAAGCAAUAUCUACGUAUCCGCUGUAUGUCGUGUGUGUGUGUUUGUAUGUACGUGUGCAUGCAUCAUGGCACACCGUGCGAUCCCGAUGAGACAUUGUACCAGAUGAGGUUGUCCAUCAAAGCAAACACCUGGGCAAUUUGGGACACGACGCGAAUACCCUCCCCGCGCCUCCAACAAUACGCAAAACAAGAAAAGGAGAGAAAAGAUGGUAAAAACAAUGGACGAACGAAGUAAGAUGACGAAGAUGAGUAUAAGAAUAAGAGCGGUAGCGGGAAGAAGAAUUAUGUGCUUUUGGCCCACUUAACCAGAUUCUGAUCUAAAUUGGACGGUGCAAAAUACCUAUUUGUGGCCUUGCACAUUUCGAAUUGGUACGUUUGGCAUUAGCCUGCUCUGCCAGACCGCACCGAACUCUCUCCUCCGCCGCGCGCGAUCUCUUGCAUAAUGCAGAGUGUUAUUUAGAGAGCAGCUCGUCCUGCUCAGCUGUUCCGAACUGUCGCACCAUCAGUCCAAUCUAAACCGUACAACCAACAUACGACGUGUUCGUUUAGCACUAAACCAAAUCAGAGGAGACCAUCAAGAUACCUCAUCCAAAAGACAAAAAACAAUACACCUAGUGGACAACAGUGGUUGUAUAAGAAAGAACUCUAAUACCAAUAAUCCAGUGCCGUUCUCUGCAGUGCCUCCUGUGCCAUUAUCAACUAUUUAUUUUAAUCUUAUAAUUAUUAACAACUGUGUUGGUUUGUUUCUUACUUUUUUUUUACAUCUAAUAACCCAAUUAUAUUCAUCCAUUUACAACGAAACGUAAAUUUGAGUAUACUUUUUUCUUUCUGCUAAUAUAAUGUUCUUUAUAUGUCCAAUGACGAUUCAAUGUCAUGCAAUAAUAUCUGGGCCGCGCGGCUAUAUUGGUUGUGUCGCAAAAUACUCAAAUCUACACCUAUUUCCUGCACUAACGAAAAAAUCGAAUAAAUUGAAUUGGAGAUCGUUACAUCAUCGGUAUCGAUAGAAACGAACUGGAACCGGCGAUUAUUUUUUAUUUUGUAACUCAACGAAAAUGACUCAUUGUUAAUCUCGUUGCAAAAAGCAAUUAUGUAAGCAUUUCAUUUCAUUCCAUUUAUAUUUAUUUUUAUCGUUUGUUCUUUUUUUUUUGGCGUUGCGAGCAUUGCGCGAACGCUUCAAAGAACAUUGGUAAUUAGACUCAAUCUGCGAAUUAUCCGUGCUCCUCUGUUAAUCAGUUAAUUAAUGGAAAUUGCCUCCAAGGCCGAUCCAAUUCAAUUUACGAAGUAAAUUCCGUUUAUAUAGAUUGCCUUUUUUUCUAACCACGAUUUAUUCCUUAAUCGUCCCAAGAGAUAUUGAAUUUGUCUUCAUUUGAAGUUCAUUUUCUUUACAAUUAUUAUUUUCAAUAUUUCAUUUGGACAAAUUUCAAAGAAAAACGUGAUUAAAUAUAUUUUUUCAUAAUAACCAUUGCA